AUGGUAUUACUCAAUUCAAAUUUGUCACCUCUCUCAAAAAUGUUAUUUUCUUUUGAUUUUUGUUUUUUUUACCCUUCCAAGCAGGUUGUCAAAAUGACACUGUCAAAAAAAUCACCAGGAGGUCUGAAAAAGGAGCGCAAAUUGAAGGAUGUUAAAGCUCUCUCACGGAAAAGUAAAACUUUGGUUAAGCCAAAGAAGCCUCUCACGUCGCCCUCCAAGAAAUCCAAAAAUAUAGGACAAAUAGCAGCCCAGAGUAAAAUUUUGGAUAAAGUAUGGAGGAAAGCAAUUCAAAGUUUAUCCAGUGAAAGCAAUUUAUCUCCUGUACAUUUAGAAAUGUUGCAAAAAUUUCAAGGCCAAACAGUUCCUCAAAAGAAGAGGAAAUUAUUUGUGAAAUGGGUGGCAACGUCACUGAAAAUGGAGAAGGAUAAAUAUCGCCCAGUCAUUGAGGAGCUUUACGAAGUAAUCAAAGCACGCAGAGAUGAAGAAAUGGCAAAAUUAACUGCUGAAAAAGCAUUAGGUACUGAGAAGAAAAGCAGGCGACAAAAACUCAGAGAAAAGAAACUGAAGAAAAAGUUGAAGAAAAAAUUAAAAGGCAGUGACCAAGACAAGCUCGAAGAAGCAAUGGAGGAAGAAAAGUCUAAAAUAGAGUUUGUCGUCCCAGCAGCCACCAAACGGAAACAUAAGAAGAAGCAUAUUAGGGAAAUACUGAAGGAAAAGAAACAGAAGAAAUCUGGUGGAGGAGCAAUGGAGGUAGAUUCAGCAUUUUCAGCUGAACCGAAACACACUAAAUUUGAUGACAAUAGUAUUGAAGACACUUCUGUGGCUGAUCAACCAAUGGAGGAAUGUAUGGAAGUUAGCUCUAGUUCAAUUUCUAAGAAAAAGAAAAAGAAGAAAAGUGUACUGUUCACAUGAUUAAGAUAAUUGUAUAUAAAGUUAAAUCCGUCAUUGCCUUCAGGUACAUAAUUUUUGCACACAUUCAUAAGUGGCUAUAAAAUCCUCUCCAAUUUCAGGUAUUUUUGUCUCCAUCUUGCAGUCAUACAGCAAAUACAUGUUUUCCUUAGUGUUAUUACGAAGUUCAUUUAAUUCAGGGUGCAAUCAAUUUUUGAUGGGACAUUUUCUCUGAAAUAAAAUUAAAUGAUUGUGAUAAUAAGUGAAAUAUUAUUUUUAUCAAAGUACCCGAUGAGCUUGCAAUAAUAGAAAAUCAAUCAGACAGAAUCAGCAUAACUGCACAACUUUAAUUUUCUCUCACACUUUAUUUUUCAACAGAGAGCUAAACUAGUUCACGCCUUUAAACUCUCUGCAAAUUAACCUCAGAUUACAAAGAAUAUAUUCCCAAAAUUGCAAGUUUCUGUUUGACUUGGUUUUCUGCUUAAUGAAUAAAAUAUCAAGGCAAUAUCUGAUGUAGUUAAGCUGAUCUCAGCAUAACUUGUCCAAUUAUUACUGUUCUAUUUUUUUAUUUUGUUCUCUUUUAUUUUCAAAAUUUUUCAAUGUUCUCGCGGAGCAUAUAGCCUCUACCAGGAUCUGAGAUAGUAUCUUUGCCUCUUCUCCUCUGCCUUUUGCCUCAGAGGAUAUUGAUAGAAAUAGACCUUGGAAUCUUGAAAUUUGCCUGACUCACUGAUUAACAAAAGACAUGCAUGGAUAAUUUAUAUAAAAUUUUGCCCACAUGAUAUAGAAUGCAAAAUUUUAAGUUGUAGUGUCGCUUAGUUUUUUGUUUGAAAAAGUUAAAAAUUGCAUUCACUGUUGAGUAAUAUCCUCUCCUGUUCGAUUUUUUAACAAACAACUGAACAACUUAUGAAUUUGAAAUUUUCUGUCUUUUUGUAGAAUACAAAGAAUAUGCUCACAAAAUUCCUAAGCAGAACAUUGCUCAGUUCUCUGUUCGAAAAUAAAGCAUGAGCCAAAAUUAGGCAUUGUCAUUGUCUAAUGCAGUAAGGUUGAUUCUGAUUAAAUCUGGUUUGUGGUAAAAACACUAAAAAAGGAGACAUUUUUUUGCUUCAACAUUUAUUUUUAUCUCACACAAUCAGUGAAUACAUUUAUACAAGUUUAUUUACAAAGAUUAUUCAGGUAAUCUUAAUUGUGAAACAGAGCUUCAGCCGUGUUUGAAUUAAUGGUCGAGUAUGCCACACAAGUAGUUCGUUUUUAUUUUUAAUAAUGGGUUACACUUUCUUUCAUUAUUUGAAUCUGUCACUUUUAAUCUCUCUUGCUC
rnacentral:lncRNA from 1 species